rnacentral:rRNA from 1 species
GGCAGCAGUGAGGAAUAUUGGACAAUGGGCGCAAGCCUGAUCCAGCCAUGCCGCGUGCAGGAUGACGGUCCUAUGGAUUGUAAACUGCUUUUAUACAGGAAGAAACACCUCUACGUGUAGAGACUUGACGGUACUGUAAGAAUAAGGGAUCGGCUAACUCCGUGCCAGCAGCCGCGGUAAUACGGAGGAUCCAAGCGUUAUCCGGAAUCAUUGGGUUUAAAGGGUCCGUAGGCGGUCAGGUAAGUCAGUGGUGAAAGCCCAUCGCUCAACGGUGGAACGGCCAUUGAUACUGUCUGACUUGAAUUAUUAGGAAGUAACUAGAAUAUGUAGUGUAKCGGUGAAAUGCUUASAGAUUACAUGGAAUACCAAUUGCGAAGGCAGGUUACUACUAAUUGAUUGACGCUGAAUGGACGAAAGCGUGGGUAGCGAACAGGAUUAGAUACCCUGGUAGUCCACGCCGUAAACGAUGGAUACUAGCUGUUGGGAGCAAUCUCAGUGGCUAAGCGAAAGUGAUAAGUAUCCCACCUGGGGAGUACGAACGCAAGUUUGAAACUCAAAGGAAUUGACGGGG